GAGAGGAGUUAAUUUAGGAAUAAAGCGUGUGAUAUUGUGCCACAAAGGGAAAGAGAAAUGUUAAUUUGCUUGCAAUAACGACCUUCAUUAUAUUGUAAUCAUUUAUAGAGUUUCUGGAUGUAGUCCAGCUGCAUAGGAAGAAGCCAAGAAGAGAACAGCAAUUAUUUAACCUUUGCUCGGUUUCAAUAGUUGCACAACCUAUUAAGCAGAGACAGGCAGGACUACAGCUGGUUGAAAGCUUCAGACUCUGCACAAAUUUCACAACUCACAUUAUUGGCAGAUAAGAGAGAAACUUCUCAGAUACCAUUAAAGGGACACUAUACUCACCAAAACAACUUUAGUUUAAUGCAGCAAGUUUUGUAUAUAGAUCAUGCCUUUGAGGGUUCACUGCUCAAUUCACUGACAUUUAGGAGUCAAACCACUUUUGUUUCUGUUUAAGUAGUCCCAGCCACACCACAAAGACAGCCUGCAUACAAUAAAAUGGUUUUGCUUUCAAUCAGAUGUAACUAACUUUAAAAUAGUGUAUCUCCUGCUCUGUUAAACUUUAAUCACAUACAGGAGCAUCCUGCAGGGUCUAGCAAGCCAU